UGCAGUCGAACGAUGAAGCCCUUCGGGGUGGAUUAGUGGCGAACGGGUGAGUAACACGUGGGCAAUCUGCCCUUCACUCUGGGACAAGCCCUGGAAACGGGGUCUAAUACCGGAUAACACUUCCGUCCUCCUGGACGGUGGUUAAAAGCUCCGGCGGUGAAGGAUGAGCCCGCGGCCUAUCAGCUUGUUGGUGAGGUAAUGGCUCACCAAGGCGACGACGGGUAGCCGGCCUGAGAGGGCGACCGGCCACACUGGGACUGAGACACGGCCCAGACUCCUACGGGAGGCAGCAGUGGGGAAUAUUGCACAAUGGGCGAAAGCCUGAUGCAGCGACGCCGCGUGAGGGAUGACGGCCUUCGGGUUGUAAACCUCUUUCAGCAGGGAAGAAGCGAAAGUGACGGUACCUGCAGAAGAAGCGCCGGCUAACUACGUGCCAGCAGCCGCGGUAAUACGUAGGGCGCAAGCGUUGUCCGGAAUUAUUGGGCGUAAAGAGCUCGUAGGCGGCUUGUCACGUCGGUUGUGAAAGCCCGGGGCUUAACCCCGGGUCUGCAGUCGAUACGGGCAGGCUAGAGUGUGGUAGGGGAGAUCGGAAUUCCUGGUGUAGCGGUGAAAUGCGCAGAUAUCAGGAGGAACACCGGUGGCGAAGGCGGAUCUCUGGGCCAUUACUGACGCUGAGGAGCGAAAGCGUGGGGAGCGAACAGGAUUAGAUACCCUGGUAGUCCACGCCGUAAACGGUGGGAACUAGGUGUUGGCGACAUUCCACGUCGUCGGUGCCGCAGCUAACGCAUUAAGUUCCCCGCCUGGGGAGUACGGCCGCAAGGCUAAAACUCAAAGGAAUUGACGGGGGGCCGCACAAGCAG
rnacentral:rRNA from 1 species